rnacentral:rRNA from 1 species
UGGUGGCGACCGGCGCACGGGUGAGUAACGCGUAUGCAACCCAUCUAUCAGAGGGGAAUAACCCGGCGAAAGUCGGACUAAUACCGCAUAAAACAGGGACACCGCAUGGUGAUAUUUGUUAAAGAAAUUCGCUGAUAGAUGGGCAUGCGUUCCAUUAGGUAGUUGGUGAGGUAACGGCUCACCAAGCCGACGAUGGAUAGGGGAACUGAGAGGUUGGUCCCCCACACUGGUACUGAGACACGGACCAGACUCCUACGGGAGGCAGCAGUGAGGAAUAUUGGUCAAUGGGCGAGAGCCUGAACCAGCCAAGUCGCGUGAAGGAAGAAGGAUCUAUGGUUCGUAAACUUCUUUUGCAGGGGAAUAAAGUGCAGGACGUGUCCUGUUUUGUAUGUACCCUGAGAAUAAGGAUCGGCUAACUCCGUGCCAGCAGCCGCGGUAAUACGGAGGAUCCGAGCGUUAUCCGGAUUUAUUGGGUUUAAAGGGUGCGUAGGUGGUUUGAUAAGUCAGCGGUGAAAGUUUGCAGCUUAACUGUAAAAAUGCCGUUGAAACUGCCGGACUUGAGUGUAAAUGAGGUAGGCGGAAUGCGUGGUGUAGCGGUGAAAUGCUUAGAUAUCACGAAGAACUCCGAUUG